CGUCAGAUAGCUCAGUGGUCUAGAGCAGUCGCACGGCAAGCGAAAGACCUGGGUUCGAUUCCCGGUCUAGCGA
rfam:Harpegnathos saltator strain R22 G/1 HarSal_1.0_1.contig6951, whole genome shotgun sequence.